UACGUAGGGGGCUAGCGUUGUCCGGAAUCAUUGGGCGUAAAGCGCGUGUAGGCGGUCCGGUAAGUCCGCUGUGAAAGCCUGUGGCUCAACCACAGAAUUGCCUUCGAUACUGUUUGGCUUGAGACCGGAAGAGGUAAGUGGAACUGCGAGUGUAGAGGUGAAAUUCGUAGAUAUUCGCAAGAACACCAGUGGCGAAGGCGGCUUACUGGUCCGGUUCUGACGCUGAGGCGCGAAAGCGUGGGGAGCAAACAGG
rnacentral:rRNA from 1 species